UACGUAGGGUGCAAGCGUUGUCCGGAAUUAUUGGGCGUAAAGAGCUCGUAGGCGGUCUGUCACGUCAGCUGUGAAAACUCGAGGCUCAACCUCGAGACGUCGGUUGAAACCAUCUGGCUAGAGUCCGGAAGAGGAGUGUGGAAUUCCCGGUGUAGCGGUGAAAUUCGUAGAUAUUGGGAAGAACACCGAUGGCGAAGGCAGUGGGCUGGGCCGGCACUGACGCUGAGGAGCGAAAGCGUGGGGAGCGAACAGG
rnacentral:rRNA from 1 species